rnacentral:rRNA from 1 species
UACGGGAGGCAGCAGUGGGGAAUAUUGCACAAUGGGCGAAAGCCUGAUGCAGCUAUGCCGCGUGUAUGAAGAAGGCCUUAGGGUUGUAAAGUACUUUCAUCGGGGAGGAAAAAACAAAACUAAUAAUUUUAUUUCUUGACGUUACCCGAAAAAGAAGCACCGGCUAAUUCCGUGCCAGCAGCCGCGGUAAUACGGAGGGUGCUAGCGUUAAUCAGAAUUACUGGGCGUAAAGAGCACGUAGGUGGUUUUUUAAGUCAGAUGUGAAAUCCCUGGGCUUAACCUGGAACUGCAUUUUGAAACUGAAAUACUAGAGUAUCGUAGAGGGAGGUAGAAUUCUAGGUGUAGCGGUGAAAUGCGUAGAUAUCUGGAGGAAUGCCUGUGGCGAAAGCGGCCUCCUAAACGAAUACUGACACUGAGGUGCGAAAGCGUGGGGAGCAAACAGGGAUUAGAUACC